UAUCUCGGAAAGUAUUAACUUUUUUCGGAAUUUGUUUUGUAGAACAUUUAAGGAACAAGCGGUUUUACAAUUUUACUUUUAUGUUAUUUUUCGUCACCUUUAUUCUUGAGGAUAAAGCCACUAUUUACUUUUAAUUUUCAGAUAGUGGCCUAAAUAAAAAAAAAAGGAUCAAUAAUAUAGGUGCUAUUUGAAAAUCUAUAGUAGGUAAUGGUUUUAUCCCCAUAAAUAGAGGUGUCAAAACAUAACAUGGAUUUCAAAUUGGCGAGCUGUUUGUUUCUUAAGUGGUCUAUCAAACGNCUUUCCGAAAUAGUGAGUGUGCCCGUUUAGAUGGGACACUCUGUACUUAUAUUUUCUCUUGUUUUCCGGAAAACCAAUUUUUUUUUAUUGUUAACAAUUGUAU